rnacentral:lncRNA from 1 species
GCCAAGUCCAGCCCACUGCCUGGUUUUGUAAAUAAAGUUUUAUUGGAAUACAGCCAUGUGCAUAUUCCAAUAAAAUGUGCAUAUUGUCUAUGGCUGCUUUGGCACUACAAAAGCUGUUGCAGAUUUAAGUAGUUGUAACAGAGACCACAUCACCCACAAAGCCCAAAAUAUUUACCAUCUUUCCCUUUACAGAAAGUUUGCCAGCCCCUGCUUCAUUUGAAGGAAACUGAAGCUCAGACACAUUCAGUGACUCGCAAGUUAACUUUGGAGAGAAGAUUGCAUGUGCGGUUCCCUGAUUCUUAUUCCAGCCAUCUCCCCACUCUUCUAAUUUGCUUCCCAUCACAAUGAUUUAUUACAAUCAUUUUUUAAGAUUAACACAACAAGGAGAGAGACAGAGGGGAAUGAGUCUGAAGCAGACAGUCCCAGUAAGGAAAAGGGAGGUGUCUCAGCGAACACAAUUAAGGGUCUUUCUAUUUUUGGAAUAUUUGGGGAAUUUUGGCAGUCACCUUGGAAAUCUGCUAAAACAAAUAAUGGAAGGCAACUAUUCAAGGAUGCCACUUCAAGGUAAAAAAAAAAAAAGCCUUAGUAUUUCAUAGAGGUUUUUGUUGUUGUUGUUCAGAAAAUGAACAUAUAAGGAAGAAAAAUGAGAAGUAUCCUGAAGAAUGUGUUCAAUUUUUAUCCAUUUGAUUGCUGAACGCUUUCAUCAAGGCAAUUCUCUGAGCACAGGAAAAAAAUAUCCCCAACAGAGGUUGGCAGCUCAGAGGGACACACACACACACACACACACACACACACACACACCCCAUGCCUGAUUAAACAAAAUAAUUUUUAAAAAUCCAAAAUCCAAUACAGUUCGAAACUUAACAAUAAUUUAAAAGAAAGGCCACUUGCUUUCCCCUCUUCUGCUUUAUACAAAUACAUGGUAAUUUGCUUCUUUUUAAUAGUUUGUACAAUCUGAUGAGUGGUGCAAUUUAGCCCCCAUGUCAAUUACGGAUGCUAAAAAUUUCAGAAUUAUAAGAUCACCAAAAUUAUCACACCCACCAAAAAGACCUGCUGGGGACAGCUAAUCUUUUUCUUUUCACUAUACCUUGUGCAGAAGGCUGAGCAGGGGAUGUCCACAUCUUGCCAACCCUGGAGCUCCAUUUUCCCAGGGAGGACUUGAGCGGGAAAAGCAAGAUGUAAGGUAGAGAAAGACUAAUUCAUAAAAGUAAGGGAGUCAUGCCCUUAAAAAAGAAACACAAACUCCUCUAAAAGUUGAGAAACAAAAAGCUCUCGGGCCUCCCUGACAAGAUUCCAUAGUUGUUUCUCUCAGCGCUUAGAUUUCUCCAGAGGCAGAAAGGCAGAAGCAGAACUUAGCUCACAUUUCUUUGAAUGAGCCAUUUAAAUGCCCAUCACUCCACAUCACUCUCAUGCUCUGAAUUCUUCUGUGGCUCCCCAGUGCUCAAUUUUGGGGUCCAAGCGCUUGAAUGCAGGAUACACCAUGCACCACAAUCUUGCAUCUCUCAUCACAUUCCGUUUUCAGCCACUGUCUGCCUAGCACGUCCUGCUCUUGCAACAAAGAACACUUUUAACUUGCAUCGUCCUCUCAUCCCAGCUUGCAAAGGAACAGGUACACAUGAGGACUGCAUUCCUAUUCAGGGAUUUACGUGGGAAAAAAAGAAAUCAGUGUUUUACUUUACUUUUAAAGAUGUAAUAUCUAUGAAAUCUCUGUUGUUAUUUACCUAUGAUAGUAAAAAUAUUGCAAAAAUUACCAAAUUACGAAGUAUGAAGUGACCUCCAACAUCAUAUACUCCAAAUUCCUCAACUGGUGGUUCAUGAAGCUCAGAAAAAGAUGCAGAGGAUUCCUUCUGUUCUUUGAUGAACACUUAAGGCCGUUUCAGAGAAGCAGCCAUUACACCCCUUUCCUUCUGGGCCUGAACUCAGGCUCCUUCCUAAUUUAAGGAAAAAGUAAAACACCAACCAUCCUCAGAAACCAACCUUCUUUACAGGCAGAAGUUUCUUCCAACCUGUUACCUGCGAAUUUCAAAAUCAUACCUCCUGUCUGCCAAACAAGACUGCCAGCUUCUCAAAGCAAGAACUAUACUGAGCUGACACAGCAUUAAAGAAGUUAAGCUGUUAAAAAAAAAAAAGGCUUGAGGAGUUAAAGAGGAAAAGUCACAUUUCUUUGCCUGAAUAAUGUGAGGAUUGUUAUACCUGUUUGUGAAACUUGGGACUUUGUCUUUAAAAAAAAAAACAAACAAACAGGUGUUGGGAUGGAAAGCCACUGAGAAAGGCAAAGUGUUCUUCUCUGCAUAGCCCUCUUGCUCCCUGUGACCGAGUGAAGGGCUUGAGAAAUAAACUACAAGUAUUAAACACUAACUGCAAAGAAGAAACAGAGAUCAUCCAAAUAGGCAGAUCCAAACCUAAGCCAAGAGCCUCUAGCCCAGUUCUCGUUUUGUGAGAAGAAAUUAGAACCUUAAAAAGUUUUCAGAAUAAGACCCCAAACAACCAAGCCAGGAAGAGGACAGAAAACCUGGAGGAGCCCAAAGGGGUGCAGGAACUUCUGACAGGUGUAUGGUGGGAGGACUGGACCAGGAGGCAUUGAUGAGAACUCAGCCAGAACAUUCUAGAAUUACAAGGAACAACCGGCCUGAUUAAUAUGCGGAAUCUUGGCAAGGCAGAAACGAUUCUCAGUUAUGUUUCCCACUCCAGGAGAACGUGACUUCCUGUUCGAAAUGGAGGAGGGCUUUGUCCCAACACAUGAUGAUCUUCACAGGCUGACAUUCUGGUCUCUUCAUUACACAGGAGUGACGCCUGAAGCUGAAGCAAUUAACACAAUGUUACACGACCGAAAGCUGAGGCAAGGGGCCAGUGUGGAGCCAUGGGAGGCUGUCAUCACUCAAUAUUAAUUGAUCCUACUUUUCAUCCAUAAAGCAGGGGCUGAAACAAAUUUUUGGUCACAAAAAUGGCAACUAUUACACUAUUAAGUCUCUAGAUUGGCAAGAAACAGUGGUAAGAAAAGAAACAGUUGGAUCACCAGUCUGAGGGAUAUGGAAGGCAAUCCAGAAAAACCUCAACAUCCUUCUCCCCAUUCCUUGCACACCUUUACAGCAUUAUUCCAGCCUGGGCUAUUAGAAACAGCAUCAGUAACUUUUCUUUCACACACUUCAUCUCGACCAUUUCUCACCAAGCAAGCCAUGAUGGACUGAAGACCGGUGAGCCCAUGCUCAGGGCAUCUUUGAUGCAUCUAUUAAGGCCUUAAAAGUUCAGCCUGUUGGCAUCAGCAGCCCUGAUGAGUCCACUCACCCCCAGGAAGCUCGUUUGAUUGAGGUACCUUUUCCAAGCUGCAGUUUGGUUGGUGGGUCCAAAGAUUAGAUUUGGUUUAGGAUUUCCAGGGCCCCCUGCACCUACCAAACAGCAGACAAGUCUCUAGCCAUGCAAGGUGCAGCAGGCCAAAGGCAAAUAAUGGUAAAUCAUGGCAGAUGCUUCUCCAAGAUAACACACAGACUCUAUUAGGGCUAUACCCAAGCUGGCCUGGUUUCCAGAUAUAGGAGAACAGACACCAGACUAGGACAUUAAAAACUCCAGAAUUUGGUGGGAUGUUUCAGACGCUGUUUCCUACAUUGAGAGACCUUACUAUCUUGUUCACCAUUGCAUGCUCAAUACAGAGCCUGAAAAAGAGUAGAUAAUCAAUAAAUAUUGAAUGGAUCAAUUUUGUUAAGUAACUUUGCCAGACAAGACUGCUUUCUCCAAAAAGAAAAGUCCACCCACAAGCUUGCCAGCUCCCUUGGGAAUAUAUUAUUAUACCUAUCUUGUGUCAAAGCAACAUGCAUUCCUUAUAGUGCCAUGUUGUACUCAUGCUUACAAACUAAUUCUGAGCUUACACUAGGGAUGCCCAAGUGAAAUAAUCCCUUCCCUCUUUUAAGAGGGCCCAAUGAGGCUGUCAAACUAAUGUGUACUCCUCCUGAUAAAUCAUGUGUAUGUACCUGCAAAGUAUGUUUAUGCAACAGAAUAGAAAAACAUCUCAGUGGCUGCUAAGUGUAGCAGGUACUCCUUGCCCAUGUAAUUUUUACUUAUCAGGAGCCCUGACCUGUAAACAAAGAAGAGUAUGCCUGAAACACAGAACUGAGGAAAUGACCUUCUAGACUUAAUGACAGUGGCAUGCAACUUGAGGCCAGAAUCACCUACCUUUUCACACCAGAUUUGCUUUUGAAAAUAUUUCGUAGAUAAAAUUCAACAGGACUCCUGUCUUCUGAAGCAUUGGUGAAAUAUGGUCAAACUAUAAAAUGACAGUGGACCCAGUGAAAUUAGAGAAAGCUUAAAAUUCUUUAACGCAAUAUUGCUAAUAAUAAUUAGUAGGGUGCA